rnacentral:pre_miRNA from 1 species
AAUUUCAUUUGAAAAAAGUCAUCAAUAGCAAAGUUGUAUAACUCAUUAAGAUCUGUAACUUUUAUUUUGGUCAUUUCUUCAUCCGAUAAACUGAUUUGUAAGAUUGUUCACAAAACUUACAUCUCUUAUACAGUUUUUAUAUAACUUUAUAAGAGAUGUACGUUUUGUGAAUAAUCUUACAAAUCACUUUAUCGGAUGAAGAAAUAACCUAAAUAGAAGUUAUAGAUCUUGAUGAGUUAUACAACUUUGUUAGUGAUGACUUUUUCAGUUGAAAUC